GAUCAGGUAGGGAUACCCGCUGAACUUAAGCAUAUCAAAAGGCCGGAGGAAAAAUUGGGGGCCCCCCCCGG
rnacentral:rRNA from 1 species